CUUAUUCUACUGUGUCAAAGAAGAAUUUAGGCUUCACAAUGAAAAUAUUGGUUAUCUUUUCUACUACAUGUAAAUAUAAAAUUCAAAGACAAAAUUAACCAGCGGUAUAGUCAUCAAAAUUUAGAGCUUAUACAUCUAUAAUAUGUUCAAAGACGCGGUUGAAGUAUGUCAUAAGUAAACUCGAUCAUUUCUCAAAGUUGAUUGGAAAUAAAGAGCAAUCACAGGCUACAAUUCCACAAAAGUGCAAAAGUGAGAACAUUUAUUGAACAAGUUGUGGAAGAUAAAAGCCGAAUGGAAGGAUUUCCAGUACACUACUUAAGAAUUAUGGUUUGACAAUUCAACACAGGAACUAGUGCUGCUAGCAUGUGAAGAUGUCGACAUAGAGCGUAUUUGCAGCGUAAAUAAGGUGACCAAACUACGUGCAUCUGCUAGCAAUAUGAUCAGCUGCUGGCGAUGUUGAAGAGUUGCCAAUAUCUCCAAAAUUAUACAUGGAACUAAAGGGACCAACAACUCAAGAAUUUUAGACAGUAAGAAAUCUCACUUACUAAGUUAAUAAGAAAAAGAAAAGAUGAUCAAUCUCUUUCUUUAG